rnacentral:rRNA from 1 species
AAUCGAACCCGGAGAUAGCUGGUUCUCCCCGAAAUAGCUUUAGGGCUAGCGUCGCAGCGAGAGAGCCGUGAAGGUAGAGCACUGAAUAUGCGAUGGCCGCAUCCCGCGGUACUGAGCAUAAUCAAACUCCGAAUGUCACGGUGUCAUCUGCGGCAGUCAGACGGCGAGUGAUAAGGUCCGUCGUCAAAAGGGAAACAGCCCAGACCAUCAGCUAAGGUCCCAAAGUGCAUGCUAAGUGGAAAAGGAAGUGGAGACGUGCAGACAACUAGGAGGUUGGCUCAGAAGCAGCCAUCCUUCAAAGAGUGCGUAACAGCUCACUAGUCGAAUGACUCUGCGCCGAUAAUUUACCGGGGCUAAGCAUGACACCGAAGCUAUGGACAGGAAUGUGGUAGGGGAGCAUUGCAUGCAGCGGAGAAGCAUGACCGGAAGGGCAUGUGGAGCGCAUGGAAGAGAGAAUGCCGGCGUGAGUAGCGGCACGUGGGUGAGAAUCCCACGCACCGAUGGCCCAAGGUCUCCAGAGGAAGGCUCGUCCUCUCUGGGAUAGUCGGGACCUAAGGCGAGGCCGAAAGGCGUAGCCGAUGGACGACGGGUGGAUAUUCCCGUACCCGAUGUGUGGCGAUGGAGUGACGGAGAAGGCUCAGGCAACCAGCUGCUGGAAUAGCUGGGGCAAGCGAGAUACCUGCGCACCAGGGAAAUCCGGUGCGCAUAAGGGGAAGGCGCGAUGCAUACGGAAAGCUUCGGCAAGUACGGAAAAGCUGAGAGCAGGCUUCCAGGAAAAGCUUCUAGCACAACACACAUCGGCCCGUACCGAAAAUGGACACACAUGGGCAAGGAGAGAAUCCUGAGGUGAGCGAGAGAACUAUAGCUAAGGAACUCUGCAAAAUGACCCCGUAACCUAGGGAGAAGGGGUGCUCCAGAAAUGGAGCCGCAGUAAAACGGCCCAAGCGACUGUUUACCAAAAACACAGCUCUCUGCGAAGGCGCAAGCCGAAGUAUAGGGGGUGACGCCUGCCCGGUGCUGGAAGGUCAAGGGGAGCUGUCAGCGCAAGCGAAGCAGCGAGCCGAAGCCCCAGUAAACGGCGGCCGUAACUAUAACGGUCCUAAGGUAGCGAAAUUCCUUGUCGGGCAAGUUCCGACCCGCACGAAAGGCGUAACGAUUUGGGCGCUGUCUCAGCUGUAGACUCGGUGAAGUCUUAGUACCUGUGAAGAUGCAGGUUGCCCGCGACUAGACGGAAAGACCCCAUGGAGCUUCACUGCAGGUUGACAUUGGGCUUGGAUGCAUGAUGUACAGGAUAGGUGGGAGGCUGUGAGCCGUGCGCGCCAGCGUACGGGGAGCCGCUGUUGGGAUACCACCCUUCAUGCAUCUAGGUCCUAACCGGAGGCAACGGGCCACGGGACAGUGUCAGUCGGGCAGUUUGACUGGGGCGGUCGCCUCCCAAAGAGUAACGGAGGCGCCCAAAGAUACCCUCAGCAUGGAUGGAAACCAUGCAUAGAGUGCAAAGGCAUAAGGGUGUCUGACUGCGAGACAUACAGGUCGAGCAGGGACGAAAGUCGGGCUUAGUGAUCCGGCGGAUCCGAAUGGAAGGGCCGUCGCUCAACGGAUAAAAGCUACCCUGGGGAUAACAGGCUGAUCUCCCCCAAGAGUUCACAUCGACGGGGAGGUUUGGCACCUCGAUGUCGGCUCAUCGCAUCCUGGAGCUGAAGUCGGUUCCAAGGGUUGGGCUGUUCGCCCAUUAAAGCGGUACGCGAGCUGGGUUCAGAACGUCGUGAGACAGUUCGGUCCCUAUCUGUCGUGGGCGCAGGAGGUUUGAGGAGAGCUGCCCCUAGUACGAGAGGACCGGGGUGGACGGACCGAUGGUGCACCAGUUGUCACGCCAGUGGCACAGCUGGGCAGCCAAGUCCGGACGGGAUAAGCGCUGAAGGCAUCUAAGCGUGAAGCCCCCUCCAAGAUGAGACCUCCCAUUGG